GGAACCGGAACCGGACAUGCUUAUGUUUGGUUGUAGUCUUUUCGCUUGGUUCCCCGUAUCAACAGUAGGGCUAGAACCGAGCGAAAAGACUACAACCAACCUCCCUUGCAAUGAGCAAUGAGUCUUCCAACCGAAAUCCCUGGAUUUACAAAAGGCCAAAUAAAACACGACAGAAAGUGUAUUUCGCUACCAUACUUGAUGGAAAAAAAAGCAGAUGAGGAUGUCUGCAUUGCCUUGGGAGAGUGUAGACUCUAAACUCUCCCCAGGCAAUAGAGACAUCCUAAAUUGUAAAUCCAGGGUUAGGGAUCAUUUACUAUCCUUGUUGAAAAGGAAUAAUGCCUACAUUUUUUUAAAAUAUUGACUAUGCUUAAAGGAAGCAGGAUUAUUACCUAAUUUUUCACUUUAUUUUGUUUUAACACAUUUGAAGAUUUUAUUUAAAGUCACAUUUGUCUUAUCUUUAUAGUUGUUGUUGAUCCGAAAAUGAUCCGACCCGUGACUCAAAAACCGUGACAAGAUCCGAACCGUGAGUUUUGUGAUCCAUUGCACCCCUAGUGUCCAGAGAGGGGGUGUGUGUCCAGAGAGGGGGUCUAACAGCAGUGCCCACCACCAGCAUAGGCUAUGUCAGAGUGGUAGAUAUAACAGAGUGGCGACACUUCCAUUGGACUCCGUUGUAGCGCCUACUUCCGGGGUAUGGAGCCUCGAAUAGUUCCAAAUAACCAUUUUACGGCGUAGGAGAUCAUUCAUUUACAUUGCUGGCCGUCGAGUAACUUCUGAGACGACCGAUUGCCUGCUGGUUUGUUAGCUCGACUUCGCCAUGUGAAGUUGCCUUAUUAGGUCCUCCACAGUCGCCCCAUCAGUCCCUGGCAGUCUGGUCCCUGGAGCAGCUGGCCCUGGAUCACCUGCCCCUGGCAAAGUGGCCUCUUGAUUGCUCUCUCUGUCUCCUGUCAUGUCCUUUUCAUCACUCUUGAAAUCCACCUCAAUUUCUCCCUCAAUCUCUGUAACAAUUACAAGGUAAUGUUGCUGUUAUAUGUAUUUUGCCUUUGCAUUUGCAACUACUGUCAUCUCCAAUGUAAGGCAAUGUAAGAAAAUUAAUUAAAGCGAAAUAUUUCUGUAAUGUGAAUGAAAUCAGCUGCCACAAUCAGAAACCAAUAAAAUGUAUUAAUGGAUCUACCGGCAAUUGUUAAUUGGGUAGAAAUGUGUCGAUUAUCUACAUUGUGUGCAAAUCCUCAGAGAAUCCCUGACCUCUGGUUGUUUUUUAAACUGAAUGUACAAAUAUGAAUUAUGUUAUCUCAUUAGGAGUGUAGUCUAUCCUUGAAUUACAUGAAAUGGGGAAUAUUGUCAGCUGCAUGGAUCAUACCGAAGUUUAAUUUGGCGCAAUAUGUGUGGUCCGUUGCACUUGGUUCUGGAGGCACCCUCACAGAAGGGGGUUUCCUCCUCUUCGGCUUAGGGCGAUGAAUGAAAACUGUUGGGACUGCAUCGGGCCUCAACUUCAACAUCCCUUCUCAUUUUGUGGCAGUGAAUUGGUCAUCUUCAAAGUGUACCUGUAGGUAGGCUUGUAAGAUCCGUUUCCAUUGCACUUCAAAUAUCAUUGAAAAGUCAUAAUUCUCUACACUACAGAAUUAUUAUGCCCUUUGAAAUGCUAGCAAGUGAUGUGAACAUUACUUACAUUAUAGUUUUUGACUGUUGCUGACCCCUGUCACUUGUAAGUUUUGACGGCUGACCAUUGCCAUCCAUUUCUUCGGACCGAUUGGAGCAUCCAAACGCUGCACAGCCAACCAUGAUAUGACCAUUGAUCUAAACCAAUUUUGAAUUUGCUCAGGGCUAUUAUAAGUAUUGUAAUGGCAUAAAGUAUAGUAUAUUUGCAACGUUAUAUGUUAAUGGUUUGCCCUAAGUAUAUAAUGUUCCCUGCUGUGUCCAUUGUUGAAUCUGUUAACACAAUCGCACUCACUUGUUCUUGUUGUCACACUAAUUGUUUAAUAAAAAAAAAAUAUUAUUCAUUCAUCCAAGCGUAAUGAGUUGUUAUUCUUUAAUAUAUUUGAUACUUUGUGUGGCUCAUAUCUUCAAAUGAUCAUGGUAAAACAUCUUGAAUACUUUGAUUUCAAUACAGAUGUAAGGUAAAAGUUAAGGUUAAGCCAGUAUGCUAACAUGAACGUGAAGCUUUCCCUCAAACUUAAAAAAAAUAAAUAAAAACUUAUCUGAGUAAUACUUCAGACCUGCAAA